rnacentral:rRNA from 1 species
ACUGUCUAAUUAAAACAAAGCAUUGCGAGGGCCCUAGCGGGUGCUGACGCAAUGUGAUUUCCGCCGUGCUCUGAAUGUCAAAAUGAAGAAAUUCAAGCAAGCGCGGGUAAACGGCGGGAGUAACUAUGAAUCUCUCUAUUGUGCGUUUCCAGGAAAGGCCUCGUGGAGGCGUCCACUCGACCUUAGUCGACCCGCCGCCGAGGGAACCACCCACGACUCGCACCACUCUUCGUUUACAAAUAAAAGUUUCUAAUACUACGUGUACAACAUGUACUCUCUAAAAUUGUACUGCAAGUACAACCACCAAAACAAAUGAAGGUGGGAGAUUUAGAGAUAGUUAACAGCAAUUAAAAGAUCUGUACUUGUACGAAUUAA